rnacentral:lncRNA from 1 species
UUUCAGACUUUGUUUCACAGUGCAUCUUUCUUGUGACCAGAAAGAGUGGACUGUAAACAGCACAAUAACAUUAACUUUACAGUCCUUGGGCCAUAAAGACAUGGGCAAAAAAUGACCUUCCAUGGAGUCUCCGUUGCCUCAUUUACUAGAAUUUUCCUCAAUGGUUGCAGUUAAGAUUUGUAGGAAUUUAUGGUUGUCUUAUUCUAUCACCAAAUCCUCGACUGGAUUUGUAUGGGCUUUGAAGAACUAGCUGCUGAAAGUAACAAGUCAACAGCUGCAAAUGAUGAAUACAAAACUCAUCGGAGCUCAAAGUGAAAUAAAGUCACUUUUCAACCAUGUCAGUUCGGUAUGUGGAAAUGAUGAAGGGUGGAGAUGCUGGCCAAUAUGUGCGAAGAUACUAUUAUAACGUCACUUAAACUUUCUUCCUUGAGUUCUUUUUUACCUCUUCUUAUUUACAAAACAUUCUAGCUUGUUUUUCAUUUUGAAGCCCAAUACUAACAUUAAAUAAGAACUAACAUUUAUUAAAUUUCUCCUACUCGAUAAGUAUAAUCUACUAAUGGACUGGAAUGUCAGCUGUGAAGCACCUAGUUGUGAUCUCCAGGCCCCA